rnacentral:rRNA from 1 species
CUACGGGACGCACCAGUGGGGAAUAUUGCACAAUGGAGGAAACUCUGAUGCAGCAACGCCGCGUGGAGGAUGACACUUUUCGGAGCGUAAACUCCUUUUAUAUAGGAAGAAGAUGACGGUACUAUAUGAAUAAGCGCCGGCUAACUCCGUGCCAGCAGCCGCGGUAAUACGGAGGGCGCAAGCGUUACUCGGAAUCACUGGGCGUAAAGAGCGUGUAGGCGGCUUAAAAAGUCAGAAGUGAAAUCCUAUAGCUUAACUAUAGAACUGCUUCUGAAACUCUUAAUCUAGAAUAUGGGAGAGGUAGAUGGAAUUUCUGGUGUAGGGGUAAAAUCCGUAGAGAUCAGAAGGAAUACCGAUUGCGAAGGCGAUCUACUAGAACAUUAUUGACGCUGAGACGCGAAAGCGUGGGGAGUAAACAGGAUUAGAUACCCUUGUAGUC